GAUGAACGCUGGCGGCGUGCUUAACACAUGCAAGUCGAACGGUGAACACGGAGCUUGCUCUGUGGGAUCAGUGGCGAACGGGUGAGUAACACGUGAGCAACCUGCCCCUGACUCUGGGAUAAGCGCUGGAAACGGCGUCUCAUACUGGAUAUGUGACGUGACCGCAUGGUCUGCGUUUGGAAAGAUUUUUCGGUUGGGGAUGGGCUCGCGGCCUAUCAGCUUGUUGGUGAGGUAAUGGCUCACCAAGGCGUCGACGGGUAGCCGGCCUGAGAGGGUGACCGGCCACACGGGGACUGAGACACGGCCCAGACUCCUACGGGAGGCAGCAGUGGGGAAUAUUGCACAAUGGGCGCAAGCCUGAUGCAGCAACGCCGCGUGAGGGAUGACGGCCUUCGGGUUGUAAACCUCUUUUAGCAGGGAAGAAGCGAAAGUGACGGUACCUGCAGAAAAAGCGCCGGCUAACUACGUG
rnacentral:rRNA from 1 species